rnacentral:rRNA from 1 species
GACGAAAAACCUUACCCACCUUUGACAUGUACGGAAUCCUUUAGAGAUAGAGGAGUGCUCGAAAGAGAGCCGUAACACAGGUGCUGCAUGGCUGUCGUCAGCUCGUGUCGUGAGAUGUUGGGUUAAGUCCCGCAACGAGCGCAACCCUUGCCAUUAGUUGCUACGAAAGGGCACUCUAAUGGGACUGCCGGUGACAAACCGGAGGAAGGUGGGGAUGACGUCAAGUCCUCAUGGCCCUUAUAGGUGGGGCUACACACGUCAUACAAUGGCUGGUACAGAGGGUUGCCAACCCGCGAGGGGGAGCUAAUCCCAUAAAGCCAGUCGUAGUCCGGAUCGCAGUCUGCAACUCGACUGCGUGAAGUCGGAAUCGCUAGUAAUCGCGGAUCAGAAUGUCGCGGUGAAUACGUUCCCGGGUCUUGUACACACCGCCCGUCACACCAUGGGAGCGGGUUCUGCCAGAAGUAGGUAGCCUAACCGUAAGGAGGGCGCUUACCACGGCAGGGUUCGUGACUGGGGUGAAGUCGUAACAAGGUAGGCGUAGAUGA